rnacentral:rRNA from 1 species
CCUACGGGAGGCAGCAGUGGGGAAUAUUGCACAAUGGGCGAAAGCCUGAUGCAGCGACGCCGCGUGAGGGAUGACGGCCUUCGGGUUGUAAACCUCUUUCAGCAGGGAAGAAGCGAAAGUGACGGUACCUGCAGAAGAAGCGCCGGCUAACUACGUGCCAGCAGCCGCGGUAAUACGUAGGGCGCAAGCGUUGUCCGGAAUUAUUGGGCGUAAAGAGCUCGUAGGCGGCUUGUUGCGUCGGUUGUGAAAGCCCGGGGCUUAACCCCGGGUCUGCAGUCGAUACGGGCAGGCUAGAGUGUGGUAGGGGAGAUCGGAAUUCCUGGUGUAGCGGUGAAAUGCGCAGAUAUCAGGAGGAACACCGGUGGCGAAGGCGGAUCUCUGGGCCAUUACUGACGCUGAGGAGCGAAAGCGUGGGGAGCGAACAGGAUUAGAUACCCUGGUAGUCCACGCCGUAAACGUUGGGAACUAGGUGUUGGCGACAUUCCACGUCGUCGGUGCCGCAGCUACGCAUUAACGUUACCCGUCCCGUCGGGAGGUACGGCCGGCGACGGACGUAAACCUACGAAACGGAAAGUUAGACGGCGUGAGACGUGCCGAACGGACGACGACGAGGGAGUAGG